rnacentral:rRNA from 1 species
ACGCUCGACACCUACGAGGCAGCAGUCGGGAAUAUUGCGCAAUGGAGGAAACUCUGACGCAGUGACGCCGCGUAUAGGAAGAAGGUUUUCGGAUUGUAAACUAUUGUCGUUAGGGAAGAUACAAGACAGUACCUAAGGAGGAAGCACCGGCUAACUAUGUGCCAGCAGCCGCGGUAAUCUGAGCGGGCUGGCAAGGC